CAAUAGGAGCCCAGUUUUGGACUGAAACAGGAAUGAAGAAAAGAAAAGAAAAGAAAAGAAAAAUGGCCCUGUGGUUCCUUCCUCACUUGUGACUCUGGACAGUGCCCAUAGUAACUACAGGAAGCUGCAGCCCGCAAGGGCCGUUGUCAACGGCUGUGGUAAAUUCAGACCUGAAAGGCCCCUUGCCUUCUGCAUGGGAUUGCAUCUGGUGGGCAGAGGAUCGUUCUAGAUGUCACAUUAAAACAGGCUUCGUGAAACAAUAAAGCAUCAGAGUGGAGGGAAACCAUUAAGUCCAACUCUUCAUUUCAUGGAUAAAGAUGCAGUGUGGAAAGUUUGGAAGCGUCAUGGCCCUACGAGUCUUCCCAAUCCUGCCAUAGCUUUGGAAGGUGUAUCUUCGCACCAAGGUGGAAGGCCUCCAUCCUAUACCCCAAAACGCUGCCCUGAAGGCAUCCAGCAGACAACUGAUGGGUAUACUACCUCUCUCAGACUCUUUGCAACUCUUAAGUUCAUCUGCCCAUCCCAAGGGCAGCCUGGGAAAGAUGUGACACAGCUGACAGAUGACUGUCCCCUCCAAGCUAUCAAGCAAAGUGACUCCCGGUUUCCAAAAUCGAGUUUGUCAAAUACUGAGCUACGAAAGAACAUGAGAUUGGUUAGUGCUCUUCCCGUUGGCACAAGACUCAUAGAACCUCCACGAAGCAAUCUGUUCGUGCUUAAAAAGGACAAAGAACUCUGAGGCAGCAAGGUUUGACACCUGGGACUUGCGAUGGUUCACCCAGCACUGUUGCUGCCACGCUGUCCUGUCACUUGUCCAAGCCCCGCCCUUGUCUAGAUUCCCCCUGACCUGAUACAAUCUGGGCCCGUAAACAGGUGAGUCUUAUAAUGGCUCCUUUGUGUUCGUAUCUUUACUUUUCCACCCAAAGAUCCUUAAAGGCAUAAACACACAAAGCCAGGAGCCCAGGCACUCUGCUCUCAGCCUGCUUACUUCUGGACCGUGGUAAAAGGAUUCUCGUCGCUCGGAUUAACCCAUAACAAAAUCCGGUUCCCACCUCUGGCAUCGCAAGGGUUAAGUGGUUAGUCUGCUGCCAGAGAGGGAGUAAACUGGUCACGAUUCAGGCUGUUUCACAAUAGGCUUGGUCCAAGGAGUUAUCUCCAGACAUGCCCUCUGUUAGGCUAGAUAAACAGUUGUUGAUACUCACUAUUAAUUGAUAACUGGCUGGGACUUUCCACUAGAAGGAGAUGGAAACCCAGUAACGCAUGCCCAGGAGCAACCCUUUCUCUUGAACCAAGUCAACCCCGGGAUUAUGUGUUUUGAGAAAGUCAAAGCACCUUCAGCAAUCACGUGCGGAGCGUGCAGACGUUCAGAAAGUAUCCUUGUACUCAAGAACUGUGAAGGGAUUUGUGAAGAGUGGACUGGGAGCUGGGAUUUCAAGAUCGGCUCAGGCCCACGCAGUGAACUGGGGAGCCAAGUGAGCGCUGCAGCCAGAAAAGGUGCUGCUAUACACAGCCUGCUUCUAAUUCAGAGGGGGUUCAAAACGUGUGCAUAGCUCAGGUCAAGGAGUUAAAAGGUGACCUGGAAAGUUGAUAGCCCCAAACAGAACCCUUUACUUCUGUAUAAAGCUAACCUCUGUCUGCAUUUAGCUGGAAACCCUCAGGUCAAAGAUUUUCCUGAAUGAAAAAAAUCUGCUCUACCCGUGUGAGUCCUUGCCAGAUCCAGACAAAGGGUGUACGUGGCACCGGUGUCUCUUUUCUGGACGGUCUAUGUUUAGAAUGGGUUCUAAUUGCAAGUUUAUAAACCCUAAGGAGAAGCCAUAUUAAAACAUUGACAAGUCCUUGCUCGUGAA